GAUGAAGCCUUUCGGGGUGGAUUAGUGGCGAACGGGUGAGUAACACGUGGGCAAUCUGCCCUGUACUUUGGGAUAAGCCUUGGAAACGGGGUCUAAUACCGGAUAUCACUGUUUUUCGCAUGGGAGACAGUUGAAAGUUCUGGCGGUACAGGAUGAGCCCGCGGCCUAUCAGCUUGUUGGUGGGGUAAUGGCCUACCAAGGCGACGACGGGUAGCCGGCCUGAGAGGGUGACCGGCCACACUGGGACUGAGACACGGCCCAGACUCCUACGGGAGGCAGCAGUGGGGAAUAUUGCACAAUGGGCGAAAGCCUGAUGCAGCGACGCCGCGUGAGGGAUGACGGCCUUCGGGUUGUAAACCUCUUUCCCAGGGACGAACGCACGUGACGGUCCUGGAUAAGAAGCACCGGCUAACUACGUGCCAACGCCGCGGUAUACGUAGGGUGCAAGCGUUGUCCGGAAUUAUUGGGCGUAAAGAGCUCGUAGGCGGUUUGUCGCGUCGGCUGUGAAAACUGGAGGCUUAACCUUCAGCGUGCAGUCGAUACGGGCAGACUUGAGUUCGGUAGGGGAGACUGGAAUCCCUGUGUAGCGGUGAAAUGCGCAGAUAUCAGGAGGAACACCGGUGCGCGAAGCGGGUCUCUGGGCCGAUACUGACUCUCAUGAGCGAACGCGUGCGGAGCGAACAGGAUUAGAUACCCUGGUAGUCCACGCUGUAGCCGUAGGGCGCUAGGUGUGCGCGACAUACACGUUGUCUGUGCCGUAUCUAACCCAUUAAGCGCCGCGCCUGCGGAGUACGGCCGCAAGGCUACAACUCGAAUGAAUUCGACUGG
rnacentral:rRNA from 1 species